rnacentral:rRNA from 1 species
GUAGGUGGCAAGCGUUGUCCGGGAAUUAUUGGGGCGUAAAGCGCGCGCAGGCGGUUCUUUAAGUCUGAUGUGAAAGCCCACGGGCUCAACCGUGGAGGGUCAUUGGAAACUGGAGAACUUGAGUACAGAAGAGGAAAGCGGAAUUCCACGUGUAGCGGUGAAAUGCGUAGAGAUGUGGAGGAACACCAGUGGCGAAGGCGGCUUUCUGGUCUGUAACUGACGCUGAGGCGCGAAAGCGUGGGGAGCAAACAGGAUUAGAUACCCUGGUAGUCCACGCCGUAAACGAUGAGUGCUAAGUGUCAGGGGGUUCCCGCCCCUUAGUGCUGCAGCUAACGCAUUAAGCACUCCGCCUGGGGAGUACGGCCGCAAAGGCUG